ensembl:lncRNA
CUGGUUCAUGGUCUCUGCUGGCUCCCUGCUAGCUGCUCUGCCCAGGUCUGCAUUGGUUCCGGUCUGUCGCCCUCCCACUUGAACUUUUCGGACUUUUCCGCCGGUCUGUCCACUCUCUACACGGGUCAGUCUGCUGGUUCCUCGGAUCGUUGAGUGAGGAACUCCGCUCCUUACCCCCCGUGGCUGGCAUGGGUUCAUUGUUCUGGAUCGCUGUGAUUCCCGGUCCCGUCUGUUCCGCUCUGCUGGUGGCAUGUUCGUCAUUUAUCAGGGAGAGACAGCAGCAGGAUGAGCUAUGGGAAGAAGACCAGCUGGUGGAGGCAGUCUGAUGCUCUGGAGAAUGUUCUGCUGGGAAACCUUGGGUCCUGGUGUUCGUUUGGAUGUUACUUCAACAUGUUCCACCUCCUAAAGGUUGCUGCAGACCACCCAGCCAUAGUGAUGGUACUCCCUGACCUCUUUCAGCAGGAUAAAGCUCUGUGCUGCACGGUAAACAUUGUUCAGGAACAUGAGAAGGAGUUCAAGGUGUUUGCUCAGCCUCCACUUUCCUCACAUCUCCAUCCAACAAGUCGGAUCCAUGCAGGACCGACCUGAACUUGAAGGAUCUGCUGCUACCAUCAUACUACAGGACACCUUCCCAGGUGUGGUGGAGGAGGAUCUAUCUACAACAGGGAGGUGGUUUUAAUCUAGUGGCUGAUGGAUCUAUGUUCUGUUGUCAGUUUUGUUGUUGUCAUUUUGAUUAUAAAGUAAAAUACGUGAUCAUUCAGUUCCAGAUAACUGUGACUAAAUUUUUUGCGAAUGUACUUUUUUCACUAAAACAAAGGAACCAUUAGGAGCUGUGGUUAUUUACAGGUUAUUAUGCUGUGGUUUUACUGGUCCACUGGAGAUCAGAGUGGACUGAAUGUGGAACCUGGACUAAGAUGAGUUUGACUCCCCUGAUUUAGAGGUGU